rnacentral:rRNA from 1 species
GACGAACGCUGGCGGCGUGCCUAAUACAUGCAAGUUGAGCGCUGAAGGUUGGUACUUGUACCAACUGGAUGAGCAGCGAACGGGUGAGUAACGCGUGGGGAAUCUGCCUUUGAGCGGGGGACAACAUUUGGAAACGAAUGCUAAUACCGCAUAAAAACUUUAAACACAAGUUUUAAGUUUGAAAGAUGCAAUUGCAUCACUCAAAGAUGAUCCCGCGUUGUAUUAGCUAGUUGGUGAGGUAAAGGCUCACCAAGGCGAUGAUACAUAGCCGACCUGAGAGGGUGAUCGGCCACAUUGGGACUGAGACACGGCCCAAACUCCUACGGGAGGCAGCAGUAGGGAAUCUUCGGCAAGGGACGAAAGUCUGACCGAGCAACGCCGCGUGAGUGAAGAAGGUUGUCGGAUCGUAAAACUCUGUUGGUAGAGAAGAACGUUGGUGAGAGUGGAAAGCUCAUCAAGUGACGGUAACUACCCAGAAAGGGACGGCUAACUACGUG